AUUUUUUCCCCUCCACCAUGAGGCACGUGUUUACUUUUUGGAUUAUGGCAACAUGCUUUCAUUCUGUGAAGCUUCUCCAGGGCUGAUCUUUUCCUCCUUUCCUACUACGUACCCUGCUAUAAACUCGCAGCUGUUGAUGCCCUAGCCAUGGUGCCUUUGAAAGAAACAGGGGGCCUACAGGGUAAACUGCUCCCAAGCCCACAUCCAUGACCCACUCCAUGGUAACCGCUCAAUCUACAUGUCAGACUGCAGCGCAAACCUACAACAGUCAAACUGACAGAGACGUUGGGGUCUCCUCCACGCUCGGUUCCACUGGCAGGGGGAGGAACGGAGAGGUGAUAUUUUGCAUACAAACUGGACAACAGGCCCCCUACUUCCAUUCUCUGUACUUUAGCUUUAGGCACCCAGGGAGUGGCUCCAUAAACCCCUUUCAUGUGCUGUUAUCCCUCCAAAGCCUGUGGAAUUUUGUUGUCAAAAUCAAGACGUUUCCUGCACUUUGUUUUUAAGACAAGAUUCAGACAUGAAAGUCAAAAAGGAAAGUAGAAAUUGCAAGAGUAAAAGUACUCAAAACAUGAUUAGAUGUGUUUUUUGAAUAAAUAACCCACUGGAGAAUUAGAAAAAAAAAAAAUGAUUAUGCCAUUUUUGUCCCAUUGCAAGGCAGGCUGGUGUAUAAUAUGUAUAUUACAAAACAACUAAAACAAGUGUUUGUUACUUUUGAGAAGAUUGUCAUAUAGACAAUUUUAACACAUUGCAGUAAAUUCCAACACACUGAAGGCAUUCAAAUAAAAGCACUUAUGUUUAGGCAGACAAUGUU